rnacentral:rRNA from 1 species
GAUGAACGCUGGCGGCGUGCUUAACACAUGCAAGUCGAACGAUGAAGCCCAGCUUGCUGGGUGGAUUAGUGGUGAACGGGUGAGUAACACGUGAGUAACCUGCCCUUGACUCUGGGAUAAGCCUGGGAAACUGGGUCUAAUACUGGAUAUGACUUCUCAUCGCAUGGUGGGGGGUGGAAAGAUUUAUUGGUCUUGGAUGGACUCGCGGCCUAUCAGCUUGUUGGUGAGGUAAUGGCUCACCAAGGCGACGACGGGUAGCCGGCCUGAGAGGGUGACCGGCCACACUGGGACUGAGACACGGCCCAGACUCCUACGGGAGGCAGCAGUGGGGAAUAUUGCACAAUGGGCGCAAGCCUGAUGCAGCGACGCCGCGUGAGGGAUGACGGCCUUCGGGUUGUAAACCUCUUUCAGUAGGGAAGAAGCGAGAGUGACGGUACCUGCAGAAGAAGCGCCGGCUAACUACGUG